rnacentral:rRNA from 1 species
GUUGAUUUCACACUGCCGAGAAAAGCCUCUAGAUAGAAAAUAGGUGCCCGUACCGCAAACCGACACAGGUAGUCAAGAUGAGAAUUCUAAGGGGAGCGAGCGAACUCUCGUUAAGGAACUCGGCAAAAUGACCCCGUAACUUCGGGAGAAGGGGUGCUCUUUAGGGUUAACGCCCAGAAGAGCCGCAGUGAAUAGGCCCAAGCGACUGUUUAUCAAAAACACAGGUCUCUGCUAAACCGUAAGGUGAUGUAUAGGGGCUGACGCCUGCCCGGUGCUGGAAGGUUAAGAGGAGUGGUUAGCUUCUGCGAAGCUACGAAUCGAAG